GCUUCCCACUCCGGCAGCUUUCACCAGCUCAGGUCCCUUCAGGUCUUGUUUUAUCACCAGUAUUAUCCCCUAACUGAGACUUCUACGGUGUCUCUUAAAGUCUGCAAAAAAGACCAUCUGCAAAGUUCAGAUCUGGGUUCAAACUACACCAAAAGUAUGAAGUGUUGAGAAGCAGGAAUUUACUUCAAUUCUGCCUAUCCUCUCCCUCACUGCUUUUUACUCGUGCUCGGGGAGUCUUUGAAUGACCACAAGCAGUCAGAUUCUUCUGUUUGCUGCUUUAACAGGCAGCACUACCAGCUGCAUGCUGGAUUCGGUUGCUCAUGCUCAGUGCUGACUCAGAGGAGCAAGGGCCACCUACUGAAUCGCCAACCCCAUUUCCUG